CGCGCCAUGGGCGGCGGGGCCGGCUACGUGGACUACGACUCGGCGUUCCGCAGGAUUCAUGCCGGCCGCGGGGUCCUGCCCGCCGGCGCCACC
rnacentral:tRNA from 1 species